GAUGAACGCUAGCGGCAGGCCUAACACAUGCAAGUCGAGGGGCAUCAUGGCGUAGCAAUACGCUGAUGGCGACCGGCGCACGGGUGCGUAACGCGUAUGGAACCUACCCACCGCAGGGGGAUAACCCGCCGAAAGGCGGACUAAUACCCCAUGGUUCCCCGACCCUGCCUGGGGUUGGGGGUAAAGCCUACGGGCGGCGGUGGAUGGCCCUGCGUGCCAUUAGCUGGCUGGUGGGUAACGGCCCACCAGGGCGACGAUGGCUAGGGGGUCUGAGAGGACGAUCCCCCACACUGGUACUGAGACACGGACCAGACUCCUACGGGAGGCAGCAGUGAGGAAUAUUGGUCAAUGGGCGGAAGCCUGAACCAGCCAUGCCGCGUGCAGGAUGACGGCCCUACGGGUUGUAAACUGCUUUUCCACGGGAAGAACCCUCCGACGUGUCGGAGACUGACGGUACCGUGGGAAUAAGCAUCGGCUAACUCCGUG
rnacentral:rRNA from 1 species